rnacentral:rRNA from 1 species
UACGUAGGAGACGAGCGUUGUCCGGAAUCACUGGGCGUAAAGCGCGUGUAGGCGGAUCGGCAAGUCUGCUGUGAAAGCUCCUGGCUUAACCGGGAGUGGUCGGUGGAAACUGCCAGUCUGGAGGACGGUAGAGGUAGGUAGAAUUCCCGGUGUAGUGGUGAAAUGCGUAGAGAUCGGGAGGAAUACCUGUGGCGAAGGCGGUUCUCUGGGCAUUACCUGACGCUGAGGAGCGAAAGCAUGGGGAGCGAACAGG